rnacentral:lncRNA from 1 species
AAAUUCCGGCGCCAUUAGUCACGUUUCCUUGACAUUCGUGGGAGAGAGGGGGGUGAUGCGACCCGACGACUCUCGGUUCCUUGUCGAGAUGGCGACUGAAGACAACGACAGGAGGCCAAGUCCACCCCACACCGCUGGCGAUGAACAGAUGGCGACUGGAUUCGACAGUAGGAGGCCAACUCCGCCCCACACCGCCGGCGACCAAGAGGUGGCGACUGAAGAUGAUGGUCCUGAUGAGUUUUUG